UUUAUUUCCCGCCAGUCAGCUGAAAAAAAUAAAAGAAUCUCUAGUUCAGUUUUCCACAUAAUUAAAACAAGAAGAAACUCUCAAGCCGCCUUAACUUACACAGCGGGCCCCAUGCCUGGCGCUGGGAGGAAUGGCGAGGCUGUCCUGUCCCUAGGGCAGAGGGCUUGCGGGGCUGAGCACCUGAGCACAAGUACUUCGUGGUCAAGAGUGUUCCACAUUGCUGACAUUCAGCUCAGCCUCAGAAGCACCCUUGACAACUACCGAUGGCCACAGCCAAAUGGUUACCUGUAAAGUGGCCACUGCACCGUUUUCAGACAUGACAACACGAUUGCUGGACCCUGAAGACAUCUUAGCUGGUGACCUACAAACAUCUGCUUGCAGGAUCUUCUUGGAGCAAGCCUUAGACAUCCAGGAAGUAGCAGGAGCCCCAAGGUUCAGUUUCUCAAGAGCACCAAGUAGGUGCACGGCAGGGGAAGCAAUGCCUUGUGUUUCACACACAGGGUAUCUUCUCCUCUAUCUACUAUUAAACCUGGUUAAGAGC
rnacentral:lncRNA from 1 species